GAUGAACGCUGGCGGCGUGCUUAAUACAUGCAAGUCGAACGAACGGACGAGAAGUUUGCUUCUCUGAUGUUAGCGGCGGACGGGUGUGUAACACGUGGAUACCCUCCCUAUAAGACUGGGAAAACUUCGGAAAACCGGAGCUAAUCCGGGAUAAUAUUUUGAACCGCGUGGUCCAUAAGUGAAAGACGGUCUUGCUGUCACUACUAGAUGGAUCCGCGCUGCUUUAGCUAGUUGGGAAGGUAACGGCUUACCAAGGCAACGAUGCAUAGCCGACCUGAGAGGGGGAUCGGCCACAUGGGAACGGAGACACGGUCCAGACUCCUACGGGAGGCAGCAGUAGGGAAUCUUCCGCAAUGGGCGAAAACAUGACGGAGCAACGCCGCGUGAGUGAUGAAGGUCUUCGGAUCGUAAAACUCUGCUAUGAGUGAAGAACAGAUGUGUAAGUAACUGUGCACAGCGUGACGGUACCUAGUAAGAAAGCCACGGCUAACUACGUG
rnacentral:rRNA from 1 species